GAUGAACGCUGGCGGCGUGCCUAAUACAUGCAAGUCGAGCGAACAGACGAGGAGCUUGCUCCUCUGACGUUAGCGGCGGACGGGUGAGUAACACGUGGAUAACCUACCUAUAAGACUGGGAUAACUUCGGGAAACCGGAGCUAAUACCGGAUAAUAUAUUGAACCGCAUGGUUCAAUAGUGAAAGACGGUUUUGCUGUCACGUAUAGAUGGAUCCGCGCCGCAUUAGCUAGUUGGUAAGGUAACGGCUUACCAAGGCGACGAUGCGUAGCCGACCUGAGAGGGUGAUAGGCCACACUGGAACUGAGACACGGUCCAUACUCCUACGGGAGGCAGCAGUAGCGAAUCUUCCGCAAUAGGCGAAAGCCUGACGGAGCAACGCCGCGUGAGUGAUGAAGGUCUUCGGAUCGUAAAACUCUGUUAUUAGGGAAGAACAAAUGUGUAAGGAACUAUGCACGUCUUGACGGUACCUAAUCAGAAAGCCCCGGCUAACUACGUG
rnacentral:rRNA from 1 species